GACAGAGCUGGGGGUGAUGGAAACGUUGGGACUUCCCCAGAUGGUUAGUAUGGGGAUGGUGACUCGUAGGCAGGGUCCGCUAGGACUAGAGUAUAGACUGAGGAAUGCUCUCUUGGCAGCACUCAGAGAGGAACGACCUGCCCCACGAGCCCAUGGUACACAGGAUGUCCCACCUUCUUCUGAUAUUCUGGGGUAUUCCUCCA
rnacentral:lncRNA from 1 species